rnacentral:lncRNA from 1 species
AGAAAAAUUCACCAUCUUCAACACUAAACCCAUAAAAUAUUAUCACAUUCAUCACUAAACUCAUCAAAAUUCAUCACUUUAACCACCACACCUAAAAUAAAAUAAAAAAAUAAACUCAAAUAUUGAACCAAACAAAUAUAGAAGAAAAAAAACUCAAACAAAUUAAAAACAGAGAUAAUAGACAGAGGGGGUCAACGAAAAAGGAAGAACAGAGGGUCAACGAGAAGCCAUGGAAUUAAUGGUCUCAUAUCCGACGACCCAACAACAUAAACACACAAACACCACCAAAACCCAACAAACAUAAACCACAAAUCCGACUCUGAUGAAAUAGCAGUGACUGCGCUGCCACCAAACAACGGCGGCACUACCACCGACUAACUCCCCGCCGCCGUAGGAGCAAGAAAAACAACCCAAAAUGGGAUAUGAAGGAAGAGCCCAGGGAAAAAAUUAAACGACGUAAACAACAGGACAUAAACAACAAGAACACCAUCAAGAAAAUCAGUAUAAAUAAGCACCUUCAUGGUCAACCACUUCUCACCAACCAUUUCGUUUUUCUCAAUCUUAACAGUCUCAGCAGAGAGUUUAGCAGCAGCAGAAACAUCUUCAUCCGAAUCAACUUUCACCUUAAACGAAGGUUGCUGCUGCCGUUUCGAAGUCCACAUCCGCUAAAGUUUAACUACUUCGUUCUUCAGUUCUUCGUUAUGGGAAUCGCGAUGAUGAUUAUGCUUUCGGCGUGUGUAAACGAAGUAACCGUUUAUCUGAAUCUUACUCUUGAAUGUGUCGGUUUACAUGGAGGAGGUUAAUCUGAAGAAGAGGGGGUGAAUUAUUGAGGAAUUGGUGGAAGGUGCAUUGAAGGUUUGGAUUAGGGAGGAAAGAAAGUGAAGGCAGCGAGGCUUUUUUAGUGAGAAUGCAGGGAGAUUUUUUCAAAAGGGAACCCAGAAAAAAAAAUUGAAAGCAAAUAGUUUGAAAGAGAUUGAAUGUGAGAAGAAGAAAAGUUUUAGGGUCAAGUUUGGAUUUUGAAUCUCAAAAGAAACAAGAAAUUGAAGGUGCAGAGUUGAGAGGGGUUACCGAAGCUUAUUGAGAGAUUUGGGAGAAUUUUUUUUAUUG